rnacentral:rRNA from 1 species
GACAGAGGAGCCAAGCGUUGUCCGGAUUGACUGGGCGUAAAGCGCACGCAGGUGGUGGGGCAAGUGCCGUGUGAAAGCCGGUGGCUUAACUGCCGGAGGCCACAGCAGACUGCCUGACUCGAGCCCGAGAGAGGUCCGUGGAAUUGCCGGUGUAGUGGAUGAAAUGCGUAGAUAUCUGGAGGAACACCGGUGGCGAAGGCGGCGAUCCUGG